AGUGAACGCUGGCGGUAGGCCUAACACAUGCAAGUCGAACGGCAGCACAGGAGAGCUUGCUCUCUGGGUGGCGAGUGGCGGACGGGUGAGGAAUACAUCGGAAUCUACUCUGUCGUGGGGGAUAACGUAGGGAAACUUACGCUAAUACCGCAUACGACCUACGCGUGAAAGCAGGGGAUCUUCGGACCUUGCGCGAUUGAAUGAGCCGAUGUCGGCUUAGCUAGUUGGCGGGGUAAAGGUCCACCAAGGCGACGAUCCGUAGCUGGUCUGAGAGGAUGAUCAGCCACACUGGAACUGAGACACGGUCCAGACUCCUACGGGAGGCAGCAGUGGGGAAUAUUGGACAAUGGGCGCAAGCCUGAUCCAGCCAUACCGCGUGGGUGAAGAAGGCCUUCGGGUUGUAAAGCCCUUUUGUUGGGAAAGAAAUCCAGCUGGUUAAUACCCGGUUGGGAUGACGGUACCCAAAGAAUAAGCACCGGCUAACUUCGUGCCAGCAGCCGCCGUAA
rnacentral:rRNA from 1 species